AGCUCUUCGUGCGGUUAAGACGUGUUGUAACGGAAUAUACGAAAACCUAAACGUUUUAUUAAUGGUUUAAUUAAAAAAAAAAUAUAUAAUAAUAACCGUCUUUACAGUUUAUGGUCUUAAAUAGAUUUCCAGUUGAAACUGCAGCAAACUGAAACAACAACAAAAAGUUAUAGUAAAACAAAUACAGAAAAAUAUUAUAAAGUUUGUGAAAGGAAAUUGUGCUGAAGAAAUCAUAUUAUCAACAAGAAAAUUAUAAAAUAUACUAUUAAAAAUCUAAAGUGAAAAGAAAAUAAGCAACAAAGUGUUA